rnacentral:rRNA from 1 species
UAGGGAAUCUUCGGCAAUGGACGAAAGUCUGACCGAGCAACGCCGCGUGAGUGAAGAAGGUUUUCGGAUCGUAAAACUCUGUUGUUAGAGAAGAACAAGGACGUUAGUAACUGAACGUCCCCUGACGGUAUCUAACCAGAAAGCCACGGCUAACUACGUGCCAGCAGCCGCGGUAAUACGUAGGUGGCAAGCGUUGUCCGGAUUUAUUGGGCGUAAAGCGAGCGCAGGCGGUUUCUUAAGUCUGAUGUGAAAGCCCCCGGCUCAACCGGGGAGGGUCAUUGGAAACUGGGAGACUUGAGUGCAGAAGAGGAGAGUAGAAUUCCAUGUGUAGCGGAGAAAUGCGUAGAUAUAUGGGGGAACACCAGUGGCGAGGGCGGCUCUCUGGUCUGUAACUGACGCUGAGGCUCGAAAGCGUGGGGAGCAAACAGG